rnacentral:rRNA from 1 species
AGGGUUCGAUUAUGGCUCAGGACGAACGCUGGCGGCGUGCUUAACACAUGCAAGUCGAACGGAGCACCCCUGACGGAGAUUUCGGUCAACUGAAGGGAAUGCUUAGUGGCGGACGGGUGAGUAACGCGUGAGUAACCUGCCUUUCAGAGGGGGACAACAGUUGGAAACGACUGCUAAUACCGCAUGACAUAUGAUCGGGGCAUCCCGGACAUAUCAAAGAUUUAUCGCUGAAAGAUGGACUCGCGUCUGAUUAGCUGGUUGGCGGGGUAACGGCCCACCAAGGCGACGAUCAGUAGCCGGACUGAGAGGUUGAACGGCCACAUUGGGACUGAGAUACGGCCCAG